rfam:Schistosoma mansoni strain Puerto Rico chromosome 4, complete genome
CUGCUGAGGAGUCCCACAAUAGGACGAAACGGCCGUCCAG